AAUAUCUAGUUUUGUACCCAGCUCUCUUGAGGGUUGUGGAGUGUAGCUAGUAUUGAACAUGGAGAUCAAUUAUGCUCUGGCAUUGCUCUUAGUCCUCAUUCUCAACUUGGGUAGUUUGCUCACUUCUCUUGCUAACUCCUAUUGCCCACCACCAACAUACCCUCCAGUUCCUCACUUGCCACCCAAACACCCUCCCCAUGUAACUCCACCCUUCCACCCUAAACCACCAAAGAAGCCACCACCAUAUGUCAAACCACCUCAUGCAAAGCCUCCUCCUCAUGUACCAAUCAAACCCCCUCAUGUUAAACCACCCAUUGUAAAACCACCUCCUUAUCCGAAACCUCCAGUUGCCAAACCACCUCCCCAUCCCAAACCUCCUGUUGUCAAACCACCUCCCCAUCCCAAACCUCCUGUUGUCAAACCACCUCCCCAUCCCAAACCUCCUGUUGUCAAACCACCUCCCUAUCCCAAACCUCCUGUUGUCAAACCACCUCACCUAUCCCAAACCUCCUGUUGUCAAACCACCCUCCCUAUCCCAAACCUCCUGUUGUCAAACCACCUCCCUAUCCCAAACCUCCUGUUGUCAAACCACCUCACCAUCCCAAGCCUCCUGUUGUCAAACCACCUCCCCAUCCCAAACCUCCUGUUGUCAAGCCUCCAGUUGUCAAACCACCUCCCCAUCCCAAACCACCAGUUGUACUGCCUCCACCAUAUACCCCGAAGCCCCGGUUGUACUGCCUUCCACCAUAUACCCCGAAGCCCCCGGUUGUGCUGCCUCCACCAUAUACCCCGAAGCCCCCGGUUGUGGCCUCCACCAUAUCCCCCGAACCCCCCCGGUGUAUGUGCUGCCUCCACCAUAUACCCCGAAGCCCCCGGUUGUACUGCCUCCACCAUAUACCCCGAAGCCCCCGGUUGUACUGCCUCCACCAUAUACCCCGAAGCCCCCGGUUGUACUGCCUCCACCAUAUACCCCGAAGCCCCCGGUUGUACUGCCUCCACCAUAUACCCCGAAGCCCCCAGUUGUACUGCCUCCACCAUAUACCCCCAAGCCCCCAGUUGUACUGCCUCCACCAUAUACCCCCAAGCCCCCAGUUGUACUGCCUCCACCUUCACCACCUGUUGUAGUGCCAAGCCCACCAUCAACACCAACCCCAACCCCAGUUGUCCCAGUGAAGCCUCCUCCAC
rnacentral:lncRNA from 1 species